rnacentral:rRNA from 1 species
ACUCUACUGGGACUGAGACACGGCCCAGACUCCUACGGGAGGCAGCAGUAGGGAAUCUUCGGCAAUGGACGAAAGUCUGACCGAGCAACGCCGCGUGAGUGAAGAAGGUUUUCGGAUCGUAAAACUCUGUUGUUAGAGAAGAACAAGGACGUUAGUAACUGAACGUCCCCUGACGGUAUCUAACCAGAAAGCCACGGCUAACUACGUGCCAGCAGCCGCGGUAAUACGUAGGUGGCAAGCGUUGUCCGGAUUUAUUGGGCGUAAAGCGAGCGCAGGCGGUUUUCUUAAGUCUGAUGUGAAAGCCCCCGGCUCAACCGGGGAGGGUCAUUGGAAACUGGGAGACUUGAGUGCAGAAGAGGAGAGUGGGAUUCCAUGGUGUAGCGUUGAAAAUGCGUAGAUAUA